rnacentral:rRNA from 1 species
GAGUUUGAUCCUGGCUCAGGAUGAACGCUGGCGGCGUGCCUAACACAUGCAAGUCGAGCGAAGCACACAUGCGGAGGCCUCCGGGCCAAAGGAUGUGUGACUGAGCGGCGGACGGGUGAGUAACGCGUGGGUAACCUGCCCUAUACAGGGGGAUAACAGCUAGAAAUGGCUGCUAAUACCGCAUGAGCGCACAGCUCCGCAUGGAGCGGUGUGAAAAACUCCGGUGGUAUAGGAUGGACCCGCGUCCGAUUAGCUAGUUGGUGAGGUAAAGGCCCACCAAGACGAUGAUGCAUAGCCGGCCUGAGAGGGCGGACGGCCACAUUGGGACUGAGACACGGCCCAGACUCCUGCGGGAGGCAGCAGUAGGGAAUUUUCGUCAAUGGGCGCAAGCCUGAACGAGCGAUGCCGCGUGAGUGAAGAAGGCCUUCGGGUCGUAAAGCUCUGUUGCGGGGGAAAAAAGGCAGCAUCAGGAAAUGGGUGCUGACUGAUGGUGCCCCGCCAGAAAGUCACGGCUAACUACGUGCCAGCAGCCGCGGUAAUACGUAGGUGGCGAGCG